CCUGUUGGUGGUGAAAUGGUUUUCAUGCAGGUGACCAAAUUGCCUAACCGGACAUAAGUCGAGUGCAGUACUGAAACAGACUCCCUGAGAAGAUGGUGCAACCUGCCAGAGGGUCCUGAAAAAUGCAAACGCACACACAAAAGAUUGCAUGCGUUACUGUACCUUAGGAUACAAACUCUAACAGGUUUUUCCAAACGUGACAGGGUGGAGUUUUCAUUUUGUUUUUCUUUUGUUUUUUUACUGAAACAUGUUUACAAAAGGAUAUACACCACCCACUUUGUUUUCCUGUCUUGGAUUAAACAAUAAUUGCUCAGAUAGGAAGAAAAAACAAAGGCUUACUGCUUCCGAGCGACUGAAACGGGUCACUGGUGGUGGCAGGUGGGAGGGUAAAAGUGCCCGAUCAGCUCAGAAACCAAUCAAGUAUUUAUCUAUAAGUUAAAAAAUGGGAAGGGGGUUCAAAUAGUUUUUUUACACAUUUAGUCCAACAUUUUAAUAACUCAAAGUCUUUUCAAACAGGAUAGUUUCUUGCUGUGUGCUGGAUCACACGAGCAGCUGACUCCCACACAGUGACCAGAAAAGAUGAACCUGCAUAAGAGAAACAGCACCUCUGCUCGUGUGUAAAAUGUGCUCCACUUUCCCUCCAGAGUUAGAAAACAUGGAUUUAAAAAAAAAAAAAAAUCCAGCCUUCAACAAGUGACCACAAAGAUAAUAGGGAACACAAAGACUGCUGAGAAAUAAAGCAGGGGGCUUGCUCAUUAGGUAAUGUCCUUGUACAUUCCCAAAGAUGACCUCAUUCAUGCACUGUGUGCAUCAUCAAAGUCUGUUGGCUGUCCCGCCUGUGUGCAUGUUUAAACAAUGCCAAAACUCUGAUGUACUCAUUUCUUACUUUGUCCAUCCUGCUCACUCCCAAUAAAACCUUUAAC